CCUACGGGAGGCAGCAGUGAGGAAUAUUGGUCAAUGGCCGGAAGGCUGAACCAGCCAAGCCGCGUGAAGGACGAAGGUGCCAAGCAUUGUAAACUUCUUUUGUCAAGGGACAAAAUCAGGCUCGAGAGCCUGACCGAGGGUACUUGAAGAAAAAGCAGCGGCUAACUCCGUGCCAGCAGCCGCGGUAAUACGGAGGAUGCGAGCUUUAUCCGGAUGUAUUGGGUGUAAAGGGUGCGUAGGCGGACUGGUAAGUCAGCGGUAAAAGCCCGGGGCUCCACCCCGGCGAGCCGUUGAAACUGGCUGUCUUGAGCUGUCGAGCGGUCUGCGGAAUGCGCAUUGUAGCUGUG
rnacentral:rRNA from 1 species